UACGUAGGGUGCAAGCGUUAAUCGGAAUUACUGGGCGUAAAGCGUGCGCAGGCGGUUUUGCAAGUCAGAUGUGAAAUCCCCGGGCUUAACCUGGGAACUGCGUUUGAAACUAUGGAGCUAGAGUGUGGCAGAGGGGGGUGGAAUUCCACGUGUAGCAGUGAAAUGCGUAGAGAUGUGGAGGAAUACCGAUGGCGAAGGCAGCCCCCUGGGAUGACACUGACGCCCAUGCACGAAAGCGUGGGGAGCAAACAGG
rnacentral:rRNA from 1 species